AAUGAUGAAUGUCAUAGAUUAGACAUCUAAUAGUUUAUUCUAUAAAUGAAAGUGUAAGCAUUCCACCUCAAGAGUAAUUUGGCAACAUUGGAACUGAAAUCAUUAGACCGUUUCUGAAACCAGUAGUGAAGUAUGUUGUUUAAUUUGAUAAUCCGCAAAAAACCUUACCACAAUUUGAAUAUUUAUAUUAUUUUCUGAUCUAUCUAAUGAAAGGAAUAAAUAUAUUUACAAGCGUUGCACGGCUGUCUUCAGUUAAUGUCGUGAGACUUUGGUUAGUUCCAUUAAAUUAACGUAAACCCUCACUUUAUUUUUAUAUAAAGUUGUUCCCCACUAAAUUGGAUAAGAUAACAGGGACUAAGACAAGUCAUCAUGGCCUGAAUAUUGUGGGCUAUA
rnacentral:rRNA from 1 species